ensembl:lncRNA
GCUCCAGUCUCUUUCAUGUGCGUUGAGGGCGGAGCCAUCCUUAUCUCUCCCGGCGCCAGACCCAGACGGCCAAUCAGUGGCUCCAAGAUGGUUGCCACUGUAGGUCCCUCUCUGAUAGGUCAAUCAUGCCACAGAGAUCUCUUGUGUUCCACCAGCCUCCUGUGAGCCUGUGUUUCCCCACAGGGUGAAAACUAUUAAUCCUAAUGAGUCCGCUCCAACCGGCCCAGUGUGACGGACAGAUGCUCCGCUGCUGGGUAUCGAUGACAUCAUUAGGUUGACCUAUUGAUGAGGUUGGUUUUCCGACGUUCAACAAUCCGUUCUAUCUUAUUAAUGC